GAGGCAGAGCUGUAAGAUCUGAAAAAGAGCAAAGGAGUGAAAUCUUCUGUCCAGUUGUUAGCUGUCUGGAGAAAAAAGGUCAUCUUUUGUGUUUCAGCAGUAUGUAACUAAUAUAUAGAACACCACCACCAAAAAAAGGCAACCAGGAAAGUCCAAAGUUAACUAUGCUGCAAGGAUUCCUACUGACCCAAAUUCUUAGAAGAUUCAUCACACACAGGACAAAUAUAAGUAGCCAUAUCUGCCACACUUCAGUCUUGUGGAUUUGCCAGUCUGCUGUGUCAACACCCAAGGCCAACUGAAAGCAUUCAUUCAAGAAGCAAACCCAGAGGAACACGUAUCAGCUUUUGCUAAUGAACUCUGUCAAGGUUCAUCU